ACUGAACGCUGGCGGCAGGCCUCACCAAUCCAAGUCGAGCGAGCGGCGGACGGGUGAGUAAUGUCUGGGAAACUGCCUGAUGGAGGGGGAUAACUACUGGAAACGGUAGCUAAUACCGCAUACCAUCAGAUGUGCCCAGAUGGGAUUAGCUAGUAGGUGGGGGAAUAGCUCACCUAGGCGACGAUCCCUAGCUGGUCUGAGAGGAUGACCAGCCACACUGGAACUGAGACACGGUCCAGACGCCGACGGGAGGCAGCAGUGGGGAAUAUUGAGCAAUGGGGGCAGGCCUGACGCAGCCAUGCCGCGUGUGUGAAGAAGGCCUUCGGGUUGUAAAGCACUUUCAGCUGGGAGGCUUUACCCGCAGAAGAAGCACCGGCUAACUCCUGGCCAGCAGCCGCGGUAAUAC
rnacentral:rRNA from 1 species